rnacentral:rRNA from 1 species
CGGACGGGUGAGUAACGCGUGGGUAACCUGCCUUACACAGGGGGAUAACACCUGGAAAUAGGUGCUAAUACCGCAUAAGCGCACAGUCUCGCAUGAGACGGUGUGAAAAACUCCGGUGGUAUACGAUGGAUCCGCGUCUGAUUAGCUUGUUGGCGGGGUAACAGCCCACCAAGGCGACGAUCAGUAGCCGGCCUGAGAGGGUGAACGGCCACAUUGGGACUGAGACACGGCCCAAACUCCUACGGAAGGCAGCAG